rnacentral:lncRNA from 1 species
CGUGAAAAAUAAUAGCGAAACAAGUUAUCUCACGUUUCUUUUUUGCAAAACAUUGGCUUCAGCCGAACUCUACAACCUACAAAUUAACAAAUGAAAUGUUUCCAUGCAAACAUCUAACCAGCUUCUCAUUAAAAAAAUUAACUCUUCCACUUGUGUUUAUAGGUAUACGAAUUGAAUGUUUGAGCUGCAGCUAAAGAGGAGGAUGUAGAAAUAGCAAUGGUGAAGUAAUGACAUAUAAAAAACACAUGGUGAGAAUUUCAUGCAUCAGUAACUUACAGAAGAAAGAAGAGACUCAUGGUGAGUAGCAAUAUCAAUACAAGAAACUGCACCAGACAAUGCCUUUAAACUUGUUCAUGCAAGCAACAAAAAACAAAGGAACAAAAAAGUGAGAAUGGUAAAUGAUUGCAACGCAGAAGUUUGCUUAGAAAAUCACGUUAACAAGAACCAUUAAGCAAUGUCUUAUUAAUGUUAUACCAUGAACUAUCAGCAAUGCUGCUUUCAGAAGUGCAAAUUUGCUGAGCAAACUUAUAGUUCAAGGACCAGUAGCAACCCAGAAGGAGAAAAAUCACAUUUUCCCUUUCACAUCUCACUGGACCUUUACAUGACAACCUUGUGACAGUUACAUUAGAAUUAAUCUUCGCCCAUAAUUCAAGGACCAGUAGCAACCCAGAAGGAGAACAUUCACAUUUGCCCUCUCAUAUCUCACUUGCUCUUUACAUGACUACCUUCCAACCAGGGACGGAUGUUCAAUUUUAAAUUUGGGGAGGCGAAUGUUCGUACAAAGCACAAAAAUUAGGCAUGAAAUACAAUACUAAUUAGAAACUUGGGUAUCGAACUUAUAUAAUUUGAAAAUAUUAGUAGUUUGUACUACUAUAAAACUGCAGUUUUUUUGGAGUUUUGGGGCACCUUGGGCCAUCCCUGCUUCUAACGAAAUCUGACUAUGACAUAGUCAGGUAGAAAUAUCUGCACUUAUGCUUACCAGAGUGACUGAUCUUAGGGCAUCUCGGACAUGACAUACCAACUCUGAAUCAGUUCAAUUAACAUCCUCCAUUUCAUAAAAUCCUGGCCUCUCAUAUGCUAAUUCGACCCCUAUGAUCUCUGUACCAGGUAGCUGUUCCACUGGGUCCGACAAAGUAGAUUUUGUAAACUAAGCCUGCACAGCGGGAAAAUCAUAUCGCACAACGAUAAAUUGCAAAUUAUAGCAUCAAUACGAGCUCAGUUUCAACCGUUACGUCCCCAAUUUCAGACACUAGUUCAGUUGUCUAUAAAUAUAUUUUCAUAUAUCACUCUAUUGUAAUCGUGUUCUAUGUUCAAUAGAAUCCCUCCGUGUGUUCCGGAACCCUACCUACAAACAUCAAAUAUACAUAUAUAAGUAUAGCUAUACAUAUAUAUAAAUAUAUAUAUAUAUAUAUGUAUAUUAGAGAGAGAGAGAGAGAGAGAGAGAGAGAGAGACUAGAGAGGACCUGAACAGGAAAAGAGAGAGAGGGGAAGGCCGAGUUGGAUCUGUCAGACGAUUGAAUAGUCUGGUCGGCGCAAACCCCAACACUCAAUCCCUGUUUGUCGCUCUGUCUCCUGUUGCCGCCAGACCGAUGGAACGAGAACGUCGCAAGGCUUUUCAAACUUCCAACACAAACCCUAACCCCACCGAACUACUUCUAGUCAACCCUGGUAGUUUAAUCCCCAAAAGUUCGU